AUACGGAGGAUCCGAGCGUUAUCCGGAUUUAUUGGGUUUAAAGGGAGCGUAGGCGGACGCUUAAGUCAGUUGUGAAAGUUUGCGGCUCAACCGUAAAAUUGCAGUUGAUACUGGGUGUCUUGAGUACAGUAGAGGCAGGCGGAAUUCGUGGUGUAGCGGUGAAAUGCUUAGAUAUCACGAAGAACUCCGAUUGCGAAGGCAGCCUGCUGGACUGUAACUGACGCUGAUGCUCGAAAGUGUGGGUAUCAAACAGGAUUAGACACCCUGGUAGUCCACACAGUAAACGAUGAAUACUCGCUGUUUGCGAUAUACAGUAAGCGGCCAAGCGAAAGCAUUAAGUAUUCCACCUGGGGAGUACGCCGGCAACGGUGAAACUCAAAGGAAUUGACGGGG
rnacentral:rRNA from 1 species